CGCGUGCGUAAGUGCUGAGGAGGAUUGUGGAUUACAAGAAUAAGCAGAAUGGCUUGGUCACCGAAGGAUCCUGGGAAGCAGUUUUCUAUCAUAUCAUUGUGAAGCUCUACCAGCUUCAAUCCAAGGUUCUGUGGAUGAUUCUAAAGAAGACUUCUCUUGGGGCAGCUAGGUGGUGCAGUGGAUUAGAGUACCGGCCCUGGAUUCACGAGGACCUGAGUUCAAAUCUGGCCUCAGUUCUAGGUGCAGGUGGUGGAGGUCCCUGACCUGGGAAAUUAAGCCAUGGGGACCAGACCAGAUGUUGCUGCCAGCCCAGCAGGGAAGUCUGGAGAAGCCAAUAUGUCAGGACUUGAGCCCAGGGGUGCUUUGCACUUGGAACUUGGUGGGACCAAUGCUAUAUAGGAAUUGAGCUGAUCUGUGAACCUAAUCACUCCCCCCUGCCCAGAGACUGGGGUAGUGUAGGGAAGUAGAUUAUGGCCCCUAGGUAUUGGGAGGGGGGGAUGUUUAUAUAUUUGUUUCCUCUAUCUUUAAAGUAAAUAUUCCUAUGUAAAAGCUAAUCUGAUUGUUAAGUGGGGAAGACAGUUAGUGGGGGUCUGAGCUAAUAGCCUAGAUAUGCCCCAUUAAAGGAUCCUAUUAAAAUGAUUAUUUUCUUAUUUUAAUAAUCAAUUUUAUAUACGGGACCCAAAGAUCCUCUCUUUUUGCUUACUCAUUCAAAGCUCAGCUUCUUGAGGACAUUUUUGACCUGGGCCAAAAAUUCACCCCACCCAGAUCAUAUUAUCUAGAUGAAAGUCUUACUGUAAUCCUAUCAUUAUUCUACUCAGCUAAGACUGAGUAGAGAAUAGAUUCUUUUGAAUAGAUUGCUGGAGGUGGAAUGAUAUGGGAAAAUGCUGACAUGAUCAGAGAAACAUCUGCCAGCCCCUCAUUAGAAAAAGCCCACCUCUCAUUAUAAUAUUCAUUCCCUCAUUAAGUGUUGACCAAUCAGAGUUGACUUUCACCCUCAGGGACACCCCCUUUUCCAAUGCUAUUUAAACAUUCAACUGCCUCCAUGUGGGGUCUUUGGUUACGAGAGAAAG